rnacentral:lncRNA from 1 species
UCCCAACCAUAUCAAUGGUCCACAAUGUAGGAUAAAUACUAAACUUCAAAUGGGAUAAACACAACCUCCUUCAAAAUAAAUGUAAUAUUUUCUAGAAUAAACACAAAUAAGUUCAGGGCAAAAAGAAAAAUUCUAUAAUAAAUACAAAAUCUAUGGUGAUAAACAAAAAUACUCCAAAAUAAACACAAACUCCAUCCCAACCCUUGAUGCAUGCAAGUUUCCAUUCCCCAUCACAUCUGCAUCAAUGGCUAAUUUUUUUUAAAUCUUUAUAUCAAAAUAAAUGAAAAAGUAGCCGUUAACUUUUUGAUUUAUUGCAUCG